rnacentral:rRNA from 1 species
UGAGCAAUCUGCCCUUCUCAUCGGAAUAAGCGUUGGAAACGACGUCUAAUGCCGAAUACGACCUCCUUUCGCAUGAUCGGAGGUGGAAAGCUCCGGCGGAGAAGGAUGAGCUCGCGGCCUAUCAGCUAGUUGGUGUGGGUAAUGGCCCACCAAGGCGACGACGGGUAGCCGGCCUGAGGAGGGUGACCGGCCACACUGGGACUGAGACACGGCCCAGACUCCUACGGGAGCAG